CAUAAAUCAUACUGGAUUUUUAUAUAACAUUUUAAUUAAUUACUAUAUAAUCAUAUAUGUUAAUAAUUAUAUAUUAAACAUAUAUAAUAUAUGAUGUCAUAUUUAUAUAUAUUAUUAUAUAUAUAAUAAUAUCACGGCCCGCUAUCGCCUAGUACGCAUUAACGAAUGCCAGCGAGCUGAUCAGAACGCGGGACGUUGCUCACCUAUUUCUACUGCCCCGCUUCGCACACCUAGAAGCGACUUUGUCUCCAGCCGAUUAGAUUCCAGCCAUCCAUCCAAAAUGAAUUUCUUCGACAAAUGCGCGUUGCCGGCCUCCCAAGUAGACGCGUAUUGCUUUCCUCCUUCCUGUUAUCUGGAAAUGGGCGCCUUGACAGCAUCAUACAGCAUUUGUAACGUAACAGUGAAAAGAUAUUGCGUGAAGAAACGUAAUUUUAAAGAAAAUUGGCGAUCAUACGUGCUACGAUUCGGCUGUUCGUCGCAUUUAUGCAGGAGCUUUAUAGCGUUAUACUGCAUUCGUGGUAUAAUGCAAUGAAGUGGAGAAACAUCGGUUGACUGUGGUUUCGAAGAAUGUAAAAUAUGUAAUCGAUAAUGUUGCAUGUUUGUUUGAAAAUACAGGAAAUCCCAUAUUAGAUGUGUGUUUAAAUCCCCAGUGAGAUAUGACUUCUGGCAAAAAGAUGUUGGAAGACUGUUACGUAGUAAUAUAAAAAGGCUCGCUAACUCGUUGCUAUCCCUAUCAGCGUAAAUGGAUGGGAAAUGUGGGCGUCGCAUUUCGCAUUCAUUUACGCCGGUACUUCUUCUUCGCGUUAUACUGUAUCUUUCCGAUCGACAUACUGACAGAUGUACCGUAAUAGGUAAACAUAUCAAUAACUGUUUACUUUCAUUUUCAGUCGGCUACUCGACAUUCGGAAGCUGACAGAAAGUUGUUCAGGCAGCAGAGUCGCGGUAGGCGUCAAGCUGCUUCCGUUGUGUUCCAGCAACACUGGAUUAAGAGCUUAAUGUUAGAAAAACGAUGCCAAACGAAUACUUUCCCGUACCUACGUUCUGCUAUAUACAAUAUUAACUCUGUUUUGUUGACCAGACAUAUCCCUUUAUUUUAAUAAGUAUGAUGGCCAUAUUCUAGUAAUUAAUAAAAGCAUGUAGUAUCCCAUUAUGGAGUACUAAACGAUUUUAUGAUGAUGAUUUUUUAUAAAUACACAUUUUCUAUAAUUUCGAAUGACGUGUGCAAAAUACUCCAAAUCUCGCAUUUUCCUGAUCGAACAAUGUUCCGAUGAAGGAGGAAAAUAGCUUUAAAGUCUACCGACGAUCAAUGGUUGAAAAAUAAACAGUAUUACACGUAUUUAUGCAAAAUGCAAAGUUACGAAAAAUAACAAGCACAAAUGAAAGUAGUGAACAAAAUGCUAUUAUUUACAAAGAUUUAAUCAAACAAUAAACGAGGGAAUAAUUUCUCUAUUAAUACAAAAUAAUAGCCAAUGACCCUAUCAUUACUAAAUUAGCAUUAUUUUAAAUUUUAUAAGUACAGGAUUAUUGGUUGUUAUUUGUUAAUAACUAUACGAAACUUGAUAUUUUACUGAUAUUAAUUGUAUCAACUUUAAUUGUAUGAAUAUUAAACUUUAAUAAGACUUUCUUCAAACACUAUAGAAAACUAUUAUUUUAUUCAAUCUCUGUUUCACCGAUACUACAUUGCCUUGCAUAUGAAUAUAGUCUGAUAUCAGUUAUUUUCGUUAUUAAUUGAGCUUCAGGCAAAUCAACAAAAGUUUCUUUUAAAUAAAGCUGUUAGCCUGCAGGAUGGUUAGGAACAGGCGCAAGCCUUAAACCGUCUUAAUCGGGAUUUCUGACACCAGAUGAGUUUAUGUGAAUCAGCGACAUAAUUAUAUCAGGCCGAAGAAAUGCGUUUGUGGCAUGAAUAAAGAUGGAGCACAGAUCGGAAACACACAGUAAGUCAGACCACACAAAGUUAACAAUAAUAAUUUAUAUUUUAUAUAAGAGAAAGUCUUUUACAUUGGUUUACAUGCGUGUAAUUUAAUGCGUGUAAAUAUUAUUCGGAGGAUAAAUACCUUACGUUGCAGUCUUGAUGUUAAACAGUCGAAAGUGUACUGGUGACAUUGACUUAGAACUCCGACGUUGAUGAACAGGACCAACUUGCAUGUGGCGAGGAAUGGCCGAAAGGAUGGAACUUCGGAAAAAUGUGGGGAGAGUCUUCGGUGGAUAGAGACAGUGAAUACGAACGAAAAGGGAUGGACGGAAUAUGAUAAUGGUAGCAAGAAAAGGAGUAACGAGGAACACUACUGCAAAGUACAGACGAAUUAGAUACACGACCGGAUCUUUUAUAUCGUUGUCCAACUCCUAUCCCAUCGGUCCAAAGAAGGGCGGUCUCUGUCUCAAAUAGACUCUUCUUGUUCGGAAAUUAAGAAAUUUAAUCUGAAACAAUCCGAUUAAAUUUCUUAACGGCCAUUCGUUGAAUGGUUGUUUUUGCUUUGGUUUCCGGCCCAAUCCUCCUUUUGCUUUUAAGAAAAACACUGUUAUUCCCUUCUUUAAUUAUCAUUGCGAUACUUGAAAUUUCUCUCAAAUAAAAAAAUACGUGUCGAUAAUUAAAUUGCAUUCAUCUUUCUUUUGCCAGAUCACUUGAACUUCACAGAAUAUAAUAGACGAACUAUAUAUUGAUAAAGGAUGUAAGUAUCUGAGAGAUUAUUCAAAUAUAUCCAAAUAAUUUUUAUUUCCCAUUCUUAAUGGUUCUUUACAUAAGCAGCGUUCAGUUUGUUUGAAAACUUUAAUUGCU
rnacentral:lncRNA from 1 species